rnacentral:misc_RNA from 1 species
GAUGAAGAACGCAGCGAAAUGCGAUAAGUAAUGUGAAUUGCAGAAUUCAGUGAAUCAUCGAAUCUUUGAACGCACAUUGCGCCCGCCAGUAUUCUGGCGGGCAUGCCUGUUCGAGCGUCAUUACAACCCUCAGGCCCCCGGGCCUGGCGUUGGGGAUCGGCGGAGCCACCCGUGGGCACACGCCGUCCCCCAAAUACAGUGGCGGUCCCGCCGCAGCUUCCAUCGCGUAGUAGCUAACACCUCGCGACUGGAGAGCGGCGCGGCCACGCCGUAAAACACCCAACUCUUCUGAAGUUGACCUCGAAUCAGGUAGGAAUACCCGCUGAACUUAAGCAUAUCAAUAAGCGGAGGA